rnacentral:rRNA from 1 species
UACGGAGGGUGCAAGCGUUAGUCGGAAUUACUGGGCGUAAAGGGUGCGUAGGCGGACAUGUAAGUCAGUUGUGAAAUUCCGGGGCUCAACCCCGGAGCUGCAACUGAAACUGUGUGUCUAGAGGGAUGGCGGAGAAAACGGAAUUCCACGUGUAGCGGUGAAAUGCGUAGAUAUGUGGAAGAACAUCUGUGGCGAAGGCGGUUUUCUAGCCUCCCCCUGACGCUGAGGCACGAAAGCAAGGGGAGCAAACAGG